rnacentral:rRNA from 1 species
CUAACUAGGAUUCCCCCAGUAACUGCGAGUGAAGAGGGAAGAGCUCAUCAUUGGAAUCUGGCAGUGUUGCACUGUCCGAGUUGUAGAUGAGGAGUAGCCCAUCUGGACUGCAUGGCAUCCAAGUACAAUAGGCCGUCAGUGGGACAUCAUAGAGGGUGACAAUCCCGUCCUUGAUGCCAAUGUGCAAGUCCGCUUACGAUGGCUAUCUCAGAGAGUCGAGCAGUUUGGGAUUUGCUGCUUAAACAUGGGAGGUAGAUUCCUUCUAAAGCUAAAUACAGGCGAGAGACCGAUAGAGAACAAGUACCGCAAGGGAAAGAUGAAAUAGAACUCUGUGAAGGGAGUCAAAAGGCGUGAAAUUGUUGCGAGAGAAGCGAUUCAAGUCAGCGUAGCUAGGCCCAUCAAGCCUCUUUGCUUUGGACUAGCUUUGCCAGCGGUCUUGUCCUAGAGACUUGACUUUGUAUUAACAUGUCCAGCCUGGUAUACACAGGUAGCCCCUCUUGGGGGGGC